rnacentral:rRNA from 1 species
CCUACGGGUGGCUGCAGUGGGGAAUAUUGCACAAUGGGCGCAAGCCUGAUGCAGCCAUGCCGCGUGUGUGAAGAAGGCCUUCGGGUUGUAAAGCACUUUCAGCGGGGAGGAAGGCGGUGAGGUUAAUAACCUCAUCGAUUGACGUUACCCGCAGAAGAAGCACCGGCUAACUCCGUGCCAGCAGCCGCGGUAAUACGGAGGGUGCAAGCGUUAAUCGGAAUUACUGGGCGUAAAGCGCACGCAGGCGGUCUGUCAAGUCGGAUGUGAAAUCCCCGGGCUCAACCUGGGAACUGCAUUCGAAACUGGCAGGCUAGAGUCUUGUAGAGGGGGGUAGAAUUCCAGGUGUAGCGGUGAAAUGCGUAGAGAUCUGGAGGAAUACCGGUGGCGAGGGCGGCCCCCUGGACAAAGACUGACGCUCAGGUGCGAAAGCGUGGGGAGCAAACAGGAUUAGAUACCCUUGUAGUC